CAUUUGUUACUCCUCUUUCUCUUUCUUCUCUCUUUUAGAGAGAGAAGCUCCACCUUCUCUCUAACUUUCCGGUCAUCUUCUCCGGUUGGCAUGGCUUUUCCGGCGCGGCGGACGACGGUGGCGCCUCCGCGCCGGAGUUCGAAACUGCUCUGAUUCAAAUUUUUUUUACGUUUUUAAACAUCCUUUUUUACGUAUUACUCGAAUCCGAGUUUAGAUUUUUCAAAAGAGCUUUGAAUCGGAGUAGAUCUAAACUUGAACCUUGAUGAAAAAAACUUAAGAAAACGGAGGGGAAAAGAGGAAGAACGGCGGCGGUUACCUCACGAUUGCGGUGACUCUUGGCUUGGCGUUGUUGCUUCGUGUUCUUCGCGUUCUUCACGUUCUCGUGGCUUCGCGUUCUUCGCGGUUGUCACGUUCUUGUUGCUUCGCGUUCUUCACGUUCUUGUGGCUUCGCGUUCUUCGCGGUCGUCACGUUCUUGUUGUUUCGGUACAGAUUCGGUUUUCCCUUUCUUCUUCUCGGAUUCGCACACCUUUCGUGAUCGUGCUUGAGUCCGGUGACGGAUUCGCACUCGUAUUGCGAAAGGAAACAAAUCGAUGAUGAUGAUUCUUCUGACGAAUCUUCUGAGAUUUGCGGAAACUUCAAUGGAUUUUGAUGAUUUUGUUAUGAAUUUGUGUGUUAGGGUUUGAUGAAUUUUUCUGUGUUCUUGGUGAUUCUGUUUUCUUUGAUCUAACAGAAUGGAGAGAGAAAGUUUUGGAUCUGUUUGUG
rnacentral:lncRNA from 1 species